rnacentral:rRNA from 1 species
GGCGAUCAGAUACCGCCCUAGUUCUAACCGUAAACGAUGACAACCAGCGAUUAGUCGGCGUUAAUAUACGACCCGACUAGCAGCUUCCGGGAAACCAAAGUUUUUCGUUUCCGGGGGAAGUAUGGUUGCAAAGCUGAAACUUAAAGGAAUUGACGGAAGGGCACCACCAGGAGUGGAGCCUGCGGCUUAAUUUGACUCAACACGGGAAAACUCACCCGGCCCGGACACCGUAAGGAUUGACAGACUGAGAGCUCUUUCUUAAUUCGGUGGGUGGUGGUGCAUGGCCGUUCUUAGUUGGUGGAGCGAUUUGUCUGGUUAAUUCCGAUAACGAACGAGACUCUGGCCUAUUAAAUAGACGGUGUAUCGAAAAGUAUACCGCGCUUCUUAGAGGGACAAGCGGCGUCUAGCCGCAUGAAAUAGAGCAAUAACAGGUCUGUGAUGCCCUUAGAUGUCCGGGGCUGCACGCGCGCUACACUGAAAGAAUCAGAGUGCGUAAUACCUAGUUCGGAAGAACCGGGUAACCCAAGUAAAUUCUUUCGUGCUUGGGAUAGGGAAUUGCAAUUAUUUCCCUUAAACGAGGAAUUCCCAGUAAAUGCGGGUCAUAAGCUCGCGUUGAUUACGUCCCUGCCCUUUGUA